rnacentral:lncRNA from 1 species
CAUUUACUCAACAAUAUACAUAACCAGAAGAAGCCUCCCUUUUGCUGUUUGAAGCAUUUUCGAUUAUUCAUGACAUAGUCCUUUUUCUUGGAGUCGAUCACUCCGUCUGCUUUUCCAUCCGUUCAAUUGUCUGUCCAUGUGUCAAUAAAAAAAAUAUGGUACUUGCCACAGGCACUUGUCUCAGAAAAAAAAUUUCCUAUAUACCUUAAUAUAGGAAAUUUUUU